GGGGAAUCUUGCGCAAUGGGAGCAAUCCUGACGCAGCGACGCCGCGUGGGGGAGGAAGGGCUUCGGCUCGUAAACCCCUGUCGCCCGGGGCGAACCUCUGGUUUCGACCAGACUGACGGUACCGGGUGAGGAAGCACCGGCUAACUCCGUGCCAGCCGCCGCGGUAAUACGGAGGGUGCGAGCGUUGUCCGGAAUCACUGGGCGGAAAGGGCGCGUAGGUGGCCGAGCAAGGUCGCGGUGAAAGCCCGGGGCUCAACCCCGGGUCGGCCGUGGCAACUACUUGGCUCGAGCACUGUAGGGGCGGGUGGAAUUCCGGGUGUAGCGGUGGAAUGCGUAGAGAUCCGGAAGAACACCGGUGGCGAAGGCGGCCUGCUGGGCAGUUGCUGACACUGAGGCGCGACAGCGUGGGGAGCAAAC
rnacentral:rRNA from 1 species